rnacentral:rRNA from 1 species
UACGUAGGGGGCAAGCGUUGUCCGGAUUUAUUGGGCGUAAAGAGCGUGUAGGCGGUCAGGUAGGUCCGUUGUGAAAACUCGAGGCUCAACCUCGAGACGCCGAUGGAAACCAUCUGACUAGAGUCCGGAAGAGGAGAGUGGAAUUCCUGGUGUAGCGGUGGAAUGCGCAGAUAUCAGGAGGAACACCGGUGGCGAAGGCGGGUCUCUGGGCCGAUAUUGACGCUGAGGAGCGAAAGCGUGGGGAGCGAACAGG